rnacentral:lncRNA from 1 species
AGAUUAGGACGCAGACACACACAGAGGGAAGACCAUGUAAAGACAGAGAGAAGAUGGCCAUCUAUAAGCCAAGAAGAGAGGCCCCAGAAGAAAUGAACGCUGCUAAUACCUUGAUCCAGGGCUUCUUGCCUCCAGAAUGACUGGGGUGAUUGGUUUCGUGAAGAGGACCGCAAAGGUAAGGUGCCAUUUUUAUCACAUGAAGUCAAGAGCACAUUCAUACUAUGUAUAGAUAGUACAUACUAUCAGUAUGACUGUUGACCCUGACUUCAAUCACCUGAUUGAGCUAGAGUUUACCAGGUUUCUCCAAUGUAUGAUCACUUGUCCUCUCCCCCUUUCCUUAUUAUACUUUUGUGUCCGGAAUUGGUGGGUUCUUGGUCUCACUGACUUCAAGAAUCAAGCUGCGGACCCUCACGGUGAGUGUUACAGCUCUUGAGGUGGUGCGUCUGGAGUUUGUUCCUUCUGAUGUUAGGAUGUGUUCGGAGUUUCUUCCUUCUGGUGGGUUCGUGGUCUCGCUGGCUCAGGAGUGAAGCUGCAGACCUUCGCGGUGAGUGUGACAGCUCAUAAAGGCAGUGUGGACCCAAAGAGGGAGCAGCAGCUGGAUUUAUUGCAAAGAGUGAAAGAACAAAGAGUCCACAGUGUGGAAGGCAACCCCAGCGGGUUGCCACUGCUGGCUCGGGCAGCCUGCUUUUAUUCUCUUAUCUGGCCCCACCCACAUCCUGCUGAUUGGUCCAUUUUACAGAGAGCGGAGUGGUCUGUUUUGACAGGGUGCUGAUUGGUGCGUUUACAAUCCCUGAGCUAGACACAAAGGUUCUCCACGUCCCCACUAGAUUAGCUAGAUACAGAGUGUGUUUUAGGUUCAUCAUCAAAUCAGAAUCCCUGAAGUGAGGCCUGAGUUUGGCGAUGGAGAUGUGCCCUGGGUGAUUCCAAUGAAGAGCCACUAUCAAGAACCACGGACUUAAAUGGCCAAUAGAGGUUCCCCACACCCACCAUCAAUAACUAUAUCUCCAAAAAGAAUGAAACACAAUAUGUGGCUACAGAGAACUUUUCAUAAACGCUACCCAUUAAUAAAUAUUAAAUCUUGUUUUGUGCCAAAUAUAUAUUUUACAUUAUCAAAGUGCUCAAGAAAUUUGGAGGAUACAGAAAAAUAAAAAUGCAUGUAUAUCUAAAAAGUCAUCACAAAGAGAAUCACUGUUCAUGUUUCUUCUUUCCAUUUUAUUUCAAUGCUUUGUCUUUUCUUUUUCUUUUCUUUU